GGCCCCGUGGCGCAAUGGUAGCGCGUCUGACUCCAGAUCAGAGGGUUGUGUGUUCGAAUCACGCCGGGGCCA